AUUGAACGCUGGCGGCAGGCCUAACACAUGCACGUCGAGCGAGCGGCGGACUGGUGAGUAAUGUAUGGGGACUGCCCGAUAGAGGGGGAUAACUACUGGAAACGGUGGCUAAUACCGCAUACUAUCGGAUAGUCCAUAUGGGAUUAGGUAGUUGGUGAGGUAAAGGCUCACCAAGACGACGAUUUCUCGCUGGUCUGAGAGGAUGACCAGCAACACUGGGACUGAGACACGGCCCAGACCCCGACGGAGGCAGCAGUGGGGAAUAUUGCGCAAUGGGGGCAACCCUGACGCAUCCACGCCGCGUGAAUGAAUAAUGCCUUCGGGGUGUAAAGUUCUGUCGGUAGCGAGGCGUUAACUACAGAAGAAGCACCGGCUAACUCCGUGCCAGCAGCCGCGGUAAUUC
rnacentral:rRNA from 1 species